rnacentral:rRNA from 1 species
UACAGAGGAUGCAAGCGUUAUCCGGAAUGAUUGGGCGUAAAGCGUCUGUAGGUGGCUUUUUAAGUCCGCCGUCAAAUCCCAGGGCUCAACUCUGGACAGGCGGUGGAAACUACCAAGCUGGAGUACGGUAGGGGCAGAGGGAAUUUCCGGUGGAGCGGUGGAAUGCGUAGAUAUCAGGAGGAACACCUGUGGCGAAAGCGGCUCACUGGACCACAACUGACGCUGAUGCACGAAAGCUAGGGGAGCAAACAGG